rnacentral:rRNA from 1 species
UACAGAGGUCCCGAGCGUUGUUCGGAUUCACUGGGCGUAAAGGGUGCGUAGGCGGUCGGGUAAGUCUGAUGUGAAAUCUCCAAGCCUAACUUGGAAACUGCAUUGGAUACUAUCCGGCUAGAGGAAUGGAGGGGAGACUGGAAUACUUGGUGUAGCAGUGAAAUGCGUAGAUAUCAAGUGGAACACCAGUGGCGAAGGCGAGUCUCUGGACAUUUCCUGACGCUGAGGCACGAAAGCCAGGGGAGCAAACGGG